rnacentral:rRNA from 1 species
UACGUAGGGUGCGAGCGUUAAUCGGAAUUACUGGGCGUAAAGUAUGCGCAGGUGGCCGCGCAAGUCGAGUGUGAAAGCCCCGGGCUUAACUUGGGAAUUGCGCUCGAAACUACGUGGCUCGAGUGUGGCAGAGGAAGGUGGAAUUCCACGUGUAGCGGUGAAAUGCGUAGAGAUGUGGAGGAACACCGAUGGCGAAGGCAGCCUUCUGGGCCAACACUGACACUCAUGCACGAAAGCGUGGGGAGCAAACAGG